AGUGAACGCUGGCGGUAGGCCUAACACAUGCAAGUCGAACGGCAGCACAGUAAGAGCUUGCUCUUACGGGUGGCGAGUGGCGGACGGGUGAGGAAUACAUUGGAAUCUACUUUUUCGUGGGGGAUAACGUAGGGAAACUUACGCUAAUACCGCAUACGACCUACGGGUGAAAGCAGGGGAUCUUCGGACCUUGCGCGAUUGAAUGAGCCGAUGUCGGAUUAGCUAGUUGGCGGGGUAAAGGCCCACCAAGGCGACGAUCCGUAGCUGGUCUGAGAGGAUGAUCAGCCACACUGGAACUGAGACACGGUCCAGACUCCUACGGGAGGCAGCAGUGGGGAAUAUUGGACAAUGGGCGCAAGCCUGAUCCAGCCAUACCGCGUGGGUAAAGAAGGCCUUCGGGUUGUAAAGCCCUUUUGUUGGGAAAGAAAAGCAGCAGGUUAAUACCCCGCUGUUCUGACGGUACCCAAAGAAUAAGCACCGGCUAACUUCGUG
rnacentral:rRNA from 1 species